UACGCAGGUUGCAAGCGUUACUCGGAAUUACUGGGCGUAAAGCGUGCGUAGGUGGUUUGUUAAGUCUGUUGUGAAAGCCCCGGGCUCAACCUGGGAAUGGCAAUGGAUACUGGCAAGCUAGAGUGCGGUAGAGGGUAGUGGAAUUCCCGGUGUAGCGGUGAAAUGCGUAGAGAUCGGGAGGAACACCAGUGGCGAAGGCGGCUACCUGGACCAGCACUGACACUGAGGCACGAAAGCGUGGGGAGCAAACGGG
rnacentral:rRNA from 1 species